AUGUUGUGAUCAUUCUCUGAUCAUCGAACCACAUAGGGUAGUCGGGAAUCCGGUGAGAAUCCGGAACUGACGCGCAGCGGUAUUGGGGAACAAGCGUGGCAUCAAGACACUGGCAGUCGCCGGGAAGUCGCCACGCAAGGCCGAACCAACAGGUUCACGCCCCUGAGUCCGAAGACCUGCCGAGGAAACAGCACUGCA
rnacentral:ncRNA from 2 species